rnacentral:rRNA from 1 species
AGUUAACGCUGGCGGCGUGCCUAACACAUGCAAGUCGAGCGAGUUCUUACAGAGUAUCGUAAGAAUUAGCGGCAAACGGGUGAGUAACACAUGGGAAACCUCCCUUAGAAUGGGGAACAUCUCCGUGAAAACGGAGCUAAUACCGCAUAAGACCACAGUUUGGCAUCAAACAGGGGUAAAAGCAGCAAUGUGUUCUAAGAUGGUCCUGUGUCCUAUCAGCUAGUUGGUGGGGUAACGGCCUACCAAGGCUAAGACGGGUAUCCGGCCUGAGAGGUUGAACGGCCACAUUGGGACUGAGACACGGCCCAGACUCC